rnacentral:rRNA from 1 species
AGUGAACGCUGGCGGUAGGCCUAACACAUGCAAGUCGAACGGCAGCACAGUAAGAGCUUGCUCUUACGGGUGGCGAGUGGCGGACGGGUGAGGAAUACAUCGUAAUCUACUUUUUCGUGGGGGAUAAUGUAGGGAAACUUACUCUAAUACCGCAUACGACCUACGGGUGAAAGCAGGGGAUCUUCGGACCUUGCGCGAUUGGAUGAGCCGAUGUCGGAUUAGCUAGUUGGCGGGGUAAAGGCCCACCAAGGCGGCGAUCCGUAGCUGGUCUGAGAGGAUGGUCGGCCGCACUGGAACUGGGACACGGUCCAGACUCCUACGGGAGGCGCCAGUGGCGUAUGUUAGACAAUGGGCGCGAGCCUGAUCCAGCCGUACCGCGUGGGUGAAGAAGGCCUUCGGGUUGUAAAGCCCUUUUGUUGGGAAAGAAAAGCAGCAGGUUAAUACCCCGCUGUUCUGACGGUACCCAAAGAAUAAGCACCGGCUAACUUCGUG